AGUCUGGUGCCAGCAGCCGCGGUAAUUCCAGCUCCAAUAGCGUAUAUUAAAGUUGUUGCAGUUAAAAAGCUCGUAGUUGGAUUUCUGUUAAUAAUUUAUAUAAAAUAUUUUGAAUAUUUAUAUAACAUUAACAUAAUUCAUAUUACUAUAUUUUUUAGUAUAUGAAAUUUUACUUUGAGAAAAUUAGAGUGCUUAAAGCAGGCAUAUGCCUUGAAUACUCCAGCAUGGAAUAAUAUUAAAGAUUUUUAUCUUUCUUAUUGGUUCUAAGAUAAGAAUAAUGAUUAAUAGGGACAGUUGGGGGCAUUUGUAUUUAACAGUCAGAGGUGAAAUUCUUAGAUUUGUUAAAGACAAACUAAUGCGAAAGCAUUUGCCAAGGAUGUUUUCAUUAAUCAAGAACGAAAGUUAGGGGAUCGAAGACGAUCAGAUACCGUCGUAGUCUUAACCAUAAACUAUGCCAACUAGAGAUUGGAGGUUGUUCCUUACUC
rnacentral:rRNA from 1 species